rnacentral:rRNA from 1 species
GACAGAGGGGGCAAGCGUUGCUCGGAAUUACUGGGCGUAAAGGGCGCGUAGGCGGUUCGUUAAGUCCUGUGUGAAAUCCCCCGGCUCAACUGGGGAACUGCACAGGAAACUAGCGGGCUUGAGUUCGGGAGAGGGAAGCGGAAUUCCGGGUGUAGCGGUGAAAUGCGUAGAGUAUCCGGAGGAACACCGGUGGCGAAGGCGGCUUCCUGGACCGACACUGACGCUGAGGCGCGAAAGCUAGGGGAGCAAACGGG